GUGCUUGCUUCGGCAGCACAUAUACUAAAAUUGGAACGAUACAGAGAAGAUUAGCAUAGCCCCUGUGCAAGGAUGACACGCAAAUUCGUGAAGUGUUCCAUAUAAAA
rnacentral:snRNA from 1 species